AGUAGAAAAGAGCAAAGGUUGCUCGUUAGACUCAUGCUCUAAAGGUUAAAGGUUCGAAUCCUUUUUCUGCUA
rnacentral:tRNA from 1 species